GCUUGGCGGCGACCGGCGCAAGGGUGCGUAACGCGUGAGCAACAUGCCCGUAUCAGGGGGAUAAUCCAGGGAAACUUGGUCUAAUACCCCAUAGUAAUUUUGUAAGGCAUCUUAUAAGAUUUAAAGCUUUGGUGGAUACGGAUUGGCUCGCGUGACAUUAGCUGGAUGGUAAGGUAACGGCUUACCAUGGCUAUGAUGUCUAGGGGUUCUGAGAGGAAGGUCCCCCACACUGGAACUGAGACACGGUCCAGACUCCUACGGGAGGCAGCAGUGAGGAAUAUUGGACAAUGGAUGGAAAUCUGAUCCAGCCAUGCCGCGUGAAGGAAGAAGGUCCUAUGGAUUGUAAACUUCUUUUGUAUGGGAGCAAUAAGGCCUACGAGUAGGUUGAUGAGAGUACCAUACGAAUAAGCACCGGCUAACUCUGUGCCAGCAGCCGCGGUAAUACGGAGGGUGCAAGCGUUAUCCGGAUUUAUUGGGUUUAAAGGGUGCGUAGCCGGUUAUUUAAGUCAGUGGUUGAAAGUUUUCGGCUCAACCGG
rnacentral:rRNA from 1 species